rnacentral:lncRNA from 1 species
GGCACCGUUACUAGAUUUAGAGAACUUAGUCUACUUUUGGUAAUGAUGUUAAGAAUACCCAACACCAACCACAUGGCUUAUGACCACAAGCAUAUUAUAAUACAACCAGAACACCAGAUGGAAACUUCCAAACAUUUACUUAACAAGGCAUUUAUUAAUUAAUUCUAGAAAGAAACAUAAUUACAAGAUGCCUAGUCAAAGUGCUCAGAAAAAUCUACAAAAAUUACAGAAGC